CAAAAGGUGCGNAGUGACCUGCGGAAGGAUCAUU
rnacentral:rRNA from 1 species